AAGAAGACGUGCGUGAUGCCGAACAAUCAAGGCGCGCCCAAGAGGAGGAACCCUUCACGCCGGCGGAUAACUUCCUCGUGCCCGCGGAGCCUAUUCCGCCGGAAAUUGAGCACCAGAGGAACGACAGUUUGUUUAAGGAUAGCGAGGCGCACACGGUGGUUUGGGCGGAGAUGCUCGUGUCCGUCUUCGACCUUAUCGCCCAGCUCUCCGACUUGGAUCUCCGCAUCCUCCUCCCGGUCAUCUUCAACGGCGUCCGGCAUCUCACCGCCUACGCCACUCAUCCUCCCCUCAAACACGCCAUCGCCGAGUUCUUCCACCGCAUAG
rnacentral:lncRNA from 1 species